GAUGAACGCUGGCGGCGUGCCUAAUACAUGCAAGUCGAGCGAACGGACGAGAAGCUUGCUUCUCUGAUGUUAGCGGCGGACGGGUGAGUAACACGUGGAUAACCUACCUAUAAGACUGGGAUAACUUCGGGAAACCGGAGCUAAUACCGGAUAAUAUUUUGAACCGCAUGGUUCAAAAGUGAAAGACGGUCUUGCUGUCACUUAUAGAUGGAUCCGCGCUGCAUUAGCUAGUUGGUAAGGUAACGGCUUACCAAGGCAACGAUGCAUAGCCGACCUGAGAGGGUGAUCGGCCACACUGGAACUGAGACACGGUCCAGACUCCUACGGGAGGCAGCAGUAGGGAAUCUUCCGCAAUGGGCGAAAGCCUGACGGAGCAACGCAGCGUGAGUGAUGAAGGUCUUCGGACCGUAAAACUCUGUUAUUAGGGAAGAACAUAUGUGUAAGUAACUGUGCACAUCUUGACGGUACCUAAUCAGAAAGCCACGGCUAACUACGUG
rnacentral:rRNA from 1 species